rnacentral:rRNA from 1 species
GGGGAAUAUUGCACAAUGGGGGAAACCCUGACGGAGCAAUGCCGCGUGAGGGAAGAAUGCCUUCGGGUUGUAAACCUCUGUUUUAUGGGAAGAUAGUGACGGUACCAUAAGAGUAAGCCCCGGCUAACUACGUGCCAGCAGCCGCGGUAAUACGUAGGGGGCGAGCGUUGUCCGGAAUUACUGGGCGUAAAGGGCGUGUAGGCGGUUUUUUAAGUUAGGAGUGAAAACCCAGAGCUUAACUCUGUGAUUGCUUCUAAAACUGGGAGACUUGAGUGCAGGAGAGGAAAGUAGUAUUCCUGGUGUAGCGGUGAAAUGCGUAGAUAUCAGGAGGAAUACUCGUGGCGAAGGCGGCUUUCUGGCCUGUAACUGACGCUGAGGCGCGAAAGCGUGGGGAGCAAAC